ensembl:lincRNA 1700047G03Rik RIKEN cDNA 1700047G03 gene
CGCUAUCGUGCUGUCAAGUGGGAUACUUGGUACUUGAAGACCUCGUGGAUCAGCUGAAGGGCCAGAAAUCAAGUACAUCAAGAAGUCUGAGUCUGGUGCCAUGGUAAGAGGAGGGCAAGCAGUAGACGGGGGAGCAGAAGCAGGAGGCCCGUAGCACCGAGUUCAGUGUGGCCUGGGCCCACUAUAUUUGUCUUCCAGCCAGCACCAUGGCCAGCUGCUCCUAGGAUGGUUCCCUCGGCUUUCUGUCCAUUCCUAAUUGUGACUGUUGCUUGCCGUCAUGCCUCUCUCCUCCAGCAUGGACUCUAACCCUCUAGAAACUUCAUAUUUCACCUCAGACUAUGAGGAGGAAACAACG